rnacentral:rRNA from 1 species
GAUGAACGCUGGCGGCGUGCCUAAUACAUGCAAGUCGAGCGAACUGAUUAGAAGCUUGCUUCUAUGACGUUAGCGGCGGACGGGUGAGUAACACGUGGGCAACCUGCCUGUAAGACUGGGAUAACUUCGGGAAACCGAAGCUAAUACCGGAUAGGAUCUUCUCCUUCAUGGGAGAUGAUUGAAAGAUGGUUUCGGCUAUCACUGACAGAUGGGCCCGCGGUGCAUUAGCUAGUUGGUGAGGUAACGGCUCACCAAGGCAACGAUGCAUAGCCGACCUGAGAGGGUGAUCGGCCACACUGGGACUGAGACACGGCCCAGACUCCUACGGGAGGCAGCAGUAGGGAAUCUUCCGCAAUGGACGAAAGUCUGACGGAGCAACGCCGCGUGAGUGAUGAAGGCUUUCGGGUCGUAAAACUCUGUUGUUAGGGAAGAACAAGUACGAGAGUAACUGCUCGUACCUUGACGGUACCUAACCAGAAAGCCACGGCUAACUACGUGCCAGCCGCCGCGGUAAUAC